GACGUAGGAGGCGAGCGUUGUCCGGAUUCAUUGGGCGUAAAGAGCACGCAGGCGGUUUGGCAAGUCGGACGUGAAAAUCCGGGGCUCAACCCCGGACCUGCAUCCGAAACUGCCCGACUAGAGGUAGGUAGGGGAGAUCGGAAUUCCUGGUGUAGCGGUGAAAUGCGCAGAUAUCGAGAGGAACACCUGCGGCGAAGGCGGGUUGCUGGGCUGACACUGACGCUGAGGCGCGAAAGCUAGGGGAGCGAACGGG
rnacentral:rRNA from 1 species